rnacentral:rRNA from 1 species
CGGCAGCGACACUGUGUGUUGUUGGGUAGGGGAGCGUUCUGUAAGCCUGUGAAGGUGUGUCGUGAGGCAUGCUGGAGGUAUCAGAAGUGCGAAUGCUGACAUAAGUAACGAUAAAGCGGGUGAAAAGCCCGCUCGCCGGAAGACCAAGGGUUCCUGUCCAACGUUAAUCGGGGCAGGGUGAGUCGACCCCUAAGGCGAGGCCGAAAGGCGUAGUCGAUGGGAAACGGGUUAAUAUUCCCGUACUUGGUGUUACUGCGAAGGGGGGACGGAGAAGGCUAUGUUGGCCGGGCGACGGUUGUCCCGGUUUAAGCGUGUAGGUGUGUGUUCCAGGUAAAUCCGGUUCACUUUAACACUGAGGCGUGACGACGAGGCACUACGGUGCUGAAGCAACAAAUGCCCUGCUUCCAGGAAAAGCCUCUAAGCAUCAGGUAACAUCAAAUCGUACCCCAAACCGACACAGGUGGUCAGGUAGAGAAUACCAAGGCGCUUGAGAGAACUCGGGUGAAGGAACUAGGCAAAAUGGUGCCGUAACUUCGGGAGAAGGCACGCUGACACGUAGGUGAAGUGAUUUACUCAUGGAGCUGAAGUCAGUCGAAGAUACCAGCUGGCUGCAACUGUUUAUUAAAAACACAGCACUGUGCAAACACGAAAGUGGACGUAUACGGUGUGACGCCUGCCCGGUGCCGGAAGGUUAAUUGAUGGGGUCAGCGCAAGCGAAGCUCCUGAUCGAAGCCCCGGUAAACGGCGGCCGUAACUAUAACGGUCCUAAGGUAGCGAAAUUCCUUGUCGGGUAAGUUCCGACCUGCACGAAUGGCGUAAUGAUGGCCAGGCUGUCUCCACCCGAGACUCAGUGAAAUUGAACUCGCUGUGAAGAUGCAGUGUACCCGCGGCAAGACGGAAAGACCCCGUGAACCUUUACUAUAGCUUGACACUGAACAUUGAGCCUUGAUGUGUAGGAUAGGUGGGAGGCUUUGAAGUGUGGACGCCAGUCUGCAUGGAGCCGACCUUGAAAUACCACCCUUUAAUGUUUGAUGUUCUAACGUGGACCCGUUACCCGGGUUGCGGACAGUGUCUGGUGGGUAGUUUGACUGGGGCGGUCUCCUCCUAAAGAGUAACGGAGGAGCACGAAGGUUGGCUAAUCCUGGUCGGACAUCAGGAGGUUAGUGCAAUGGCAUAAGCCAGCUUGACUGCGAGCGUGACGGCGCGAGCAGGUGCGAAAGCAGGUCAUAGUGAUCCGGUGGUUCUGAAUGGAAGGGCCAUCGCUCAACGGAUAAAAGGUACUCCGGGGAUAACAGGCUGAUACCGCCCAAGAGUUCAUAUCGACGGCGGUGUUUGGCACCUCGAUGUCGGCUCAUCACAUCCUGGGGCUGAAGUAGGUCCCAAGGGUAUGGCUGUUCGCCAUUUAAAGUGGUACGCGAGCUGGGUUUAGAACGUCGUGAGACAGUUCGGUCCCUAUCUGCCGUGGGCGCUGGAGAACUGAGGGGGGCUGCUCCUAGUACGAGAGGACCGGAGUGGACGCAUCACUGGUGUUCGGGUUGUCAUGCCAAUGGCACUGCCCGGUAGCUAAAUGCGGAAGAGAUAAGUGCUGAAAGCAUCUAAGCACGAAACUUGCCCCGA